rnacentral:rRNA from 1 species
UGACGGUACCCUACUAGAAAGGAGCCGCUAACUUCGUGCCAGAAGCGUCGGUAAUACGGGGGCUCCAAGCGUUAUCCGGUGUUAUUGGGCGUAAAGAGUCGUGUAGGUGGUUGGGUAAGUUAUCUUUCAAAUAUCUUUGCUUAACAAAGAGGAGGGGGAUAAUACUGCUCGACUAGAAUUUUCUCAAGGGAGAUCGGAACUGAGGGAGGAGUAGUGAAAUGCGUUGAUACCCUCGGGAACACCAGUGGCGUAGGCGGAUCUCUGGGAGAAGAUUGACACUGAGACACGAAAGCUAGGGGAGCGAAGCAGAUUAGAGACCUGCGUAGUCCUAGCCGUAAACGCAUGCUUGCUAGCUGCAUGAAUCUACCUUCGGGUGGUAUCGUGUGGCGAAGGUAACCCGUUAAGCAAGCCGCCUGGAAAGUACGGCCGCAAGGCUGAAAUUCAAAGGAAUUGGCGGGGAGGCACACAACCAGUGGAACAUGUGGUUUAAUUCGAGACUAACCGAAGAACCUCACCAGGGUUUGACAUGUAGCUGCACGUCUUAAGAAAUUAAGACUCUCUUGAAGGUGCUACACAGGUGCUGCAUGGCUGUCGUCAGCUCGUUCCGUGAGGAGUGCCCUUAAGUGGGACAACGAGCGCAACCCCUAUUACAUGUUAGAAAUGUCAUGUAAGACUGCCUUGCCAUUUGGCGGGGAGGAAGGAGGGGCAGACGUCAAGUCCGCAUGGUCCUUAUGCCCUGGGCUACACGCAUGUUACAAUGAGUACGGCAAUGAGUCUGUCGCGAGCACGUAAGUGUAAGCUAAUCUCUUAAAUGUACUCUCAGUGGGGAUUGAGGUCUGCAACUCGACCUCAUGAACACGGAAUUGGUAGUAAUCGCGGGUCAGCUAUACCGCGGUGAUACGUUCUUGCCUCUUGCACACACCGCCCGUCAAACCAGCAAAGUCGAUUGUAUCCGAACCU